rnacentral:rRNA from 1 species
CCUACGGGAGGCAGCAGUGGGGAAUAUUGCACAAUGGGGGAAACCCUGAUGCAGCGACGCCGCGUGAGUGAAGAAGUAUUUCGGUAUGUAAAGCUCUAUCAGCAGGGAAGAAAAUGACGGUACCUGACUAAGAAGCCUCGGCUAACUACGUGCCAGCAGCCGCGGUAAUACGUAGGGGGCAAGCGUUAUCCGGAUUUACUGGGGGUAAAGGGAGCGUAGACGGCGGAACAAGUCAGAAUUGAAAACCCGGGUCUCACCCCUGGGAGUGCUUGUGAAACUGUUUGGCUGGAGUGCAGGAGAGGUGAGCGGAAUUCCUAGUGUAGCGGUGAAAUGCGUAGAUAUUAGGAGGAACACCAGUGGCGAAGGCGGCUUACUGGACUGUAACUGACGUUGAGGCUCGAAAGCGUGGGGAGCAAACAGGAUUAGAUACCCCAGUAGUC